rnacentral:tRNA from 1 species
AGCCUUAUAGUCAAGCAUGAUAUUAGACUGCAAUUCUGAAGGGGUAAAAGGGUAUUUUACUAAGGCUU